CUUUAUUUUUAUUAUUAUUUCUCAAUAGCCUUGAGGGGCCCUCACAGGGAAGUUUCCAGUUCUUUCUCUCUAUGAUGACAGCAGUGCACUUGGCUGGCUCUGCUCAGACAGCUCUCAUGCAUCCAAGCCUGUCCUGCCCUCCCUGUCCUAUUCCCUAUCAAUGCUACUUGAGGCUGUGCUUGUUGUUUCAGGAUCACAGCAUUUGUGCUCAUGCUGCCCUGAGCUUUCAUAAAAUACCUGAAGUCUGGAUUUUGAUAGCGUUUGGUUACAUCACUUCAUAAUCUUGGUGCUGGUGUUCUGAUGUCUGCCUUUAUCGUUCCGUUUUUAGCUCUUGUGGCCUUGAGGAAUUCUCAGCUGUAUGAUGGAUCUGGGGAAGCUGUCUGGACUGAAGACUUUGCCUGUUUAAAAUGUUUUGGAAUCCAUCCACUUUGGCUUUUCUCUGGAUUUUUCAUGGCAUUGAAAAAUGCAGUUGGACAUUUAUCCCACUUAUUGGAGCCCUCAAUUUUAUUUCCAUCUGGAAUCACACACCAAUACUUGUGGGGCAAUUAA
rnacentral:lncRNA from 1 species